GUGAUAGUGAGGAAGUUUCCCUGAGCUAUCGCAAGUGCAGAGGGCCUGGGAGGGGCCCUGGCUGGGGCCUGAUCUUGAGCAAACGAUUCCGCCCCCUCCAGGGUGUGCUCCCUUCAAGGACCAAACACUGAGCCUCCCUCUGGGAACAGGGGGACUGACAUCACAACCCCAGCGACGCGGACCCUGGUAAAGUACAGGAUGAGGACGCUGAUAGGGCAUCUUUCCAGAAGGGGGCUUUUCCCCAAACAUGGGGACCGAUAAGCCCUUCCCAGAAGAUGGAAGACAACUUCAGAUGCAGAACUCAUGCCUCCAUUCAAACUAAUGAGACUGCUGAGCCUCUGCUGGGUCCACUGUGGGCUCAGCACAGAACCUCAGAGAAUUCUCUCACUGGGAAGGCAGGCCACCACCGAGGAGAGAGAGAAGUGAAGGCACAAAGAAGCAACUCACUCGAGGGCAUGAGGUUGUCAGCAAUGAAGAGGUGCCAUUAGCUGCUAACCCAAUGCUGGCUCUCGGACCUUCUGCUGAACUACACAUCUUAGUGGGGAACCCACCCACCAACAGGGUCUCAAUUCAAAGACACACUCACACUGCCGCUCCUUUAUCUUCCACUCCACCACUCUCUGCAAAUGGAAGGCGAUAGUUAGAAGCGUCGUUUCUGCCUAAUACUGGAGCGGGAGGCUCUCCCUACACCUCUACAGCUCUUCCUGUAGGAAAGGAGCCAUGCUGGUUCCUUGAAAAAACUGGUACUGAUUCCUACGGAGACGCUCCACCCCGUGUCACACAGAGCUGUCCCAGGACGUCAUCAAAUAUUGACAUCCUGUCCGGGUGAGCUGGUAGCCAUGCUGAAGGAAGACACGUACCCAGUUCUGGAAUCUUCCUACUUCAGGAGGCCAAUCACUG